UACGUAGGGACCAAGCGUUUGUUCGGAUUUACUGGGCGUAAAGGGCGCGUAGGCGGCGUGUUAAGUCACUUGUGAAAUCUCUAAGCUUAACUUAGAACGGUCAAUUGAUACUGAUGUGCUAGAGUGCAGAAAGGGGGCAACCGAAUUCUUGGUGUAGCGGUGAAAUGCGUAGAUAUCAAGAGGAACACCUGAGGUGAAGACGGGGUUGCUGGGCUGACACUGACGCUGAGGCGCGAAAAGCUAGGGGUAGCAAAACGGGG
rnacentral:rRNA from 1 species